UUAAGCGACUAAGCGUACACGGUGGAUGCCCUGGCAGUCAGAGGCGAUGAAGGACGUGCUAAUCUGCGAUAAGCGUCGGUAAGGUGAUAUGAACCGUUAUAACCGGCGAUUUCCGAAUGGGGAAACCCAGUGUGAUUCGUCACACUAUCAUUAACUGAAUCCAUAGGUUAAUGAGGCGAACCGGGGGAACUGAAACAUCUAAGUACCCCGAGGAAAAGAAAUCAACCGAGAUUCCCCCAGUAGCGGCGAGCGAACGGGGAGCAGCCCAGAGCCUGAAUCAGUGUGUGUGUUAGUGGAAGCGUCUGGAAAGGCGCGCGAUACAGGGUGACAGCCCCGUACACAAAAAUGCACAUGCUGUGAGCUCGAUGAGUAGGGCGGGACACGUGGUAUCCUGUCUGAAUAUGGGGGGACCAUCCUCCAAGGCUAAAUACUCCUGACUGACCGAUAGUGAACCAGUACCGUGAGGGAAAGGCGAAAAGAACCCCGGCGAGGGGAGUGAAAAAGAACCUGAAACCGUGUACGUACAAGCAGUGGGAGCACGCUUAGGCGUGUGACUGCGUACCUUUUGUAUAAUGGGUCAGCGACUUAUAUUCUGUAGCAAGGUUAACCGAAUAGGGGAGCCGAAGGGAAACCGAGUCUUAACUGGGCGUUAAGUUGCAGGGUAUAGACCCGAAACCCGGUGAUCUAGCCAUGGGCAGGUUGAAGGUUGGGUAACACUAACUGGAGGACCGAACCGACUAAUGUUGAAAAAUUAGCGGAUGACUUGUGGCUGGGGGUGAAAGGCCAAUCAAACCGGGAGAUAGCUGGUUCUCCCCGAAAGCUAUUUAGGUAGCGCCUCGUGAAUUCAUCUCCGGGGGUAGAGCACUGUUUCGGCAAGGGGGUCAUCCCGACUUACCAACCCGAUGCAAACUGCGAAUACCGGAGAAUGUUAUCACGGGAGACACACGGCGGGUGCUAACGUCCGUCGUGAAGAGGGAAACAACCCAGACCGCCAGCUAAGGUCCCAAAGUCAUGGUUAAGUGGGAAACGAUGUGGGAAGGCCCAGACAGCCAGGAUGUUGGCUUAGAAGCAGCCAUCAUUUAAAGAAAGCGUAAUAGCUCACUGGUCGAGUCGGCCUGCGCGGAAGAUGUAACGGGGCUAAACCAUGCACCGAAGCUGCGGCAGCGACGCUUAUGCGUUGUUGGGUAGGGGAGCGUUCUGUAAGCCUGUGAAGGUGUGCUGUGAGGCAUGCUGGAGGUAUCAGAAGUGCGAAUGCUGACAUAAGUAACGAUAAAGCGGGUGAAAAGCCCGCUCGCCGGAAGACCAAGGGUUCCUGUCCAACGUUAAUCGGGGCAGGGUGAGUCGACCCCUAAGGCGAGGCCGAAAGGCGUAGUCGAUGGGAAACAGGUUAAUAUUCCUGUACUUGGUGUUACUGCGAAGGGGGGACGGAGAAGGCUAUGUUGGCCGGGCGACGGUUGUCCCGGUUUAAGCGUGUAGGCUGGUUUUCCAGGCAAAUCCGGAAAAUCAAGGCUGAGGCGUGAUGACGAGGCACUACGGUGCUGAAGCAACAAAUGCCCUGCUUCCAGGAAAAGCCUCUAAGCAUCAGGUAACAUCAAAUCGUACCCCAAACCGACACAGGUGGUCAGGUAGAGAAUACCAAGGCGCUUGAGAGAACUCGGGUGAAGGAACUAGGCAAAAUGGUGCCGUAACUUCGGGAGAAGGCACGCUGAUAUGUAGGUGAAGCGACUUGCUCGUGGAGCUGAAAUCAGUCGAAGAUACCAGCUGGCUGCAACUGUUUAUUAAAAACACAGCACUGUGCAAACACGAAAGUGGACGUAUACGGUGUGACGCCUGCCCGGUGCCGGAAGGUUAAUUGAUGGGGUCAGCGCAAGCGAAGCUCUUGAUCGAAGCCCCGGUAAACGGCGGCCGUAACUAUAACGGUCCUAAGGUAGCGAAAUUCCUUGUCGGGUAAGUUCCGACCUGCACGAAUGGCGUAAUGAUGGCCAGGCUGUCUCCACCCGAGACUCAGUGAAAUUGAACUCGCUGUGAAGAUGCAGUGUACCCGCGGCAAGACGGAAAGACCCCGUGAACCUUUACUAUAGCUUGACACUGAACAUUGAGCCUUGAUGUGUAGGAUAGGUGGGAGGCUUUGAAGUGUGGACGCCAGUCUGCAUGGAGCCGACCUUGAAAUACCACCCUUUAAUGUUUGAUGUUCUAACGUUGACCCGUAAUCCGGGUUGCGGACAGUGUCUGGUGGGUAGUUUGACUGGGGCGGUCUCCUCCUAAAGAGUAACGGAGGAGCACGAAGGUUGGCUAAUCCUGGUCGGACAUCAGGAGGUUAGUGCAAUGGCAUAAGCCAGCUUGACUGCGAGCGUGACGGCGCGAGCAGGUGCGAAAGCAGGUCAUAGUGAUCCGGUGGUUCUGAAUGGAAGGGCCAUCGCUCAACGGAUAAAAGGUACUCCGGGGAUAACAGGCUGAUACCGCCCAAGAGUUCAUAUCGACGGCGGUGUUUGGCACCUCGAUGUCGGCUCAUCACAUCCUGGGGCUGAAGUAGGUCCCAAGGGUAUGGCUGUUCGCCAUUUAAAGUGGUACGCGAGCUGGGUUUAGAACGUCGUGAGACAGUUCGGUCCCUAUCUGCCGUGGGCGCUGGAGAACUGAGGGGGGCUGCUCCUAGUACGAGAGGACCGGAGUGGACGCAUCACUGGUGUUCGGGUUGUCAUGCCAAUGGCACUGCCCGGUAGCUAAAUGCGGAAGAGAUAAGUGCUGAAAGCAUCUAAGCACGAAACUUGCCCCGAGAUGAGUUCUCCCUGACUCCUUGAGAGUCCUGAAGGAACGUUGAAGACGACGACGUUGAUAGGCCGGGUGUGUAAGCGCAGCGAUGCGUUGAGCUAACCGGUACUAAUGAACCGUGAGGCUUAACCUU
rnacentral:rRNA from 1 species